rnacentral:rRNA from 1 species
GGGGAAAGAUUUAUCGCCAUUGGAGCGGCCCGCGUCUGAUUAGCUAGUUGGUGAGGUAAAGGCUCACCAAGGCGACGAUCAGUAGCUGGUCUGAGAGGAUGAUCAGCCACAUUGGGACUGAGACACGGCCCAAACUCCUACGGGAGGCAGCAGUGGGGAAUCUUGCGCAAUGGGCGAAAGCCUGACGCAGCCAUGCCGCGUGAAUGAUGAAGGUCUUAGGAUUGUAAAAUUCUUUCACCGGGGACGAUAAUGACGGUACCCGGAGAAGAAGCCCCGGCUAACUUCGUGCCAGCAGCCGCGGUAAUACGAAGGGGGCUAGCGUUGCUCGGAAUUACUGGGCGUAAAGGGAGCGUAGGCGGACUGUUAAGUUAGAGGUGAAAGCCCAGGGCUCAACCUUGGAAUUGCCUUUGAUACUGGCAGUCUUGAGUACGGAAGAGGUAUGUGGAACUCCGAGUGUAGAGGUGAAAUUCGUAGAUAUUCGGAAGAACACCAGUGGCGAAGGCGACAUACUGGUCCGUUACUGACGCUGAGGCUCGAAAGCGUGGGGAGCAAACAGGAUUAGAUACCCUGGUAGUCCACGCCGUAAACGAUGAGUGCUAGUUGUCGGCAUGCAUGCAUGUCGGUGACGCAGCUAACGCAUUAAGCACUCCGCCUGGGGAGUACGGUCGCAAGAUUAAAACUCAAAGGAAUUGACGGGGGC